AGAGGGCGAACAGGAGCACGAAGGCGCAGCGAACGGGGCCCAGGCCCAGGCCGGCGGCGGACAUGUUAAAAUUUUUGUGAUUUUGCUGUAUAGACAGAUGGGUUGCUUGCGAUCUGCUGAUGAACUGAUGUAGCUGAAAAAGGAAAAAUGAACCAAGAUGAUGGGUAUGCUUUGGAAGGCUUAAUAUCAAGUGUUCCAGUAUCAUCAGAUUGGAGAAACCAACCCAUGAGAACUUAAAACAUACUUGG